rnacentral:rRNA from 1 species
GCAGUCGAGCGGUAAGGCCAUUCGGGGUACACGAGCGGCGAACGGGUGAGUAACACGUGGGUGAUCUGCCUCGCACUCUGGGAUAAGCCUGGGAAACUGGGUCUAAUACCGGAUAUGACCACUGAUCGCAUGGUUGGUGGUGGAAAGAUUUAUCGGUGCGAGAUGGGCCCGCGGCCUAUCAGCUUGUUGGUGGGGUAAUGGCCUACCAAGGCGACGACGGGUAGCCGACCUGAGAGGGUGACCGGCCACACUGGGACUGAGACACGGCCCAGACUCCUACGGGAGGCAGCAGUGGGGAAUAUUGCACAAUGGGCGAAAGCCUGAUGCAGCGACGCCGCGUGAGGGAUGACGGCCUUCGGGUUGUAAACCUCUUUCGACAGGGACGAAGCGCAAGUGACGGUACCUGUAGAAGAAGCACCGGCCAACUACGUGCCAGCAGCCGCGGUAAUACGUAGGGUGCGAGCGUUGUCCGGAAUUACUGGGCGUAAAGAGCUUGUAGGCGGUUCGUCGCGUCGAUUGUGAAAACUUGCAGCUCAACUGCAAGCUUGCAGUCGAUACGGGCGGACUAGAGUACUUCAGGGGAGACUGGAAUUCCUGGUGUAGCGGUGAAAUGCGCAGAUAUCAGGAGGAACACCGGUGGCGAAGGCGGGUCUCUGGGAAGUAACUGACGCUGAGAAGCGAAAGCGUGGGUAGCGAACAGGAUUAGAUACCCUGGUAGUCCACGCCGUAAACGGUGGGUACUAGGUGUGGGUUUCCUUCCACGGGAUCCGUGCCGUAGCUAACGCAUUAAGUACCCCGCCCGGGGAGUACGGCCGCAAGGCUAAAACUCAAAGGAAUUGACGGGGGCCCGCACAAGCGGCGGAGCAUGUGGAUUAAUUCGAUGCAACGCGAAGAACCUUACCUGGGUUUGACAUACACCAGAAAGCCGUAGAGAUACGGCCCCCCUUGUGGUUGGUGUACAGGUGGUGCAUGGCUGUCGUCAGCUCGUGUCGUGAGAUGUUGGGUUAAGUCCCGCAACGAGCGCAACCCUUAUCUUAUGUUGCCAGCGCGUAAUGGCGGGGACUCGUGAGAGACUGCCGGGGUCAACUCGGAGGAAGGUGGGGACGACGUCAAGUCAUCAUGCCCCUUAUGUCCAGGGCUUCACACAUGCUACAAUGGCCGGUACAGAGGGCUGCGAUACCGUGAGGUGGAGCGAAUCCCUUAAAGCCGGUCUCAGUUCGGAUCGGGGUCUGCAACUCGACCCCGUGAAGUUGGAGUCGCUAGUAAUCGCAGAUCAGCAACGCUGCGGUGAAUACGUUCCCGGGCCUUGUACACACCGCCCGUCACGUCAUGAAAGUCGGUAACACCCGAAGCCGG